GAAACCACAACGCAGAAUCAUCUGGUUUGUUAUAUAAGCGAAAAAGACUUAAAAACAUCCCCUUGAGGUAUUGACUUACAACAGACCCUUAACAGCCCUUGGCUCCAAUUUAACCCGUGACCUGAGUUACUUGAACCUUGGUAGCCAGUUCCAGAUUACAGUGAUUUUCAAAUUGCAGGAAACGCCUCCGCAGAAGAAAAAAAUGUGCAAAAAAUAUGACUGAAGCUGGCAAACAAAGUUUUGGAGCUCGACCGAUUUUGAGAUGAAAUAACAGCUACGAUGUUACAGUUCUACGUCAACCUUUUAAAAACGCAUCUGCUGUCAAGGAAGCAUACGUAAUAAUAAAGCAGUACUGGUAAAAGCUUGUAAAAAAUGUAUGCGAUUAAAAGAUGAUGAUGAAAA